rnacentral:rRNA from 1 species
GCUAUUGCCAGCGGACAGACUGGAGCUUGCUCCCUGAUGUCAGCGGCGGACGGGUGAGUAACACGUGGGUAACCUGCCUGUAAGACUGGGAUAACUCCGGGAAACCGGGGCUAAUACCGGAUGCUUGAUUGAACCGCAUGGUUCAAUUAUAAAAGGUGGCUUUUACCUACCACUUACAGAUGGACCCGCGGCGCAUUAGCUAGUUGGUGAGGUAACGGCUCACCAAGGCAACAAUGCGUAUCCGACCUGAGAGGGUGAUCGGCCACACUGGGACUGACACACGGCCCAUACUCCUACGGGAGGCAGCAGUAGGGAAUCUUCCGCAAUGGACGAAAGUCUGACGGACCAACGCCGCGUGAGUGAUGAAGGUUUUCGGAUCGUAAAACUCUGUUGUUAGGGAAAAACAAGUACCGUUCGAAUAGGGCGGUACCUUGACGGUACCUACCCAGAACGCCACGCCUAACUACGUGCCACCAUCCCCGGUAAUACGUAGGUGGCAAGCGUUGUCCGGAAUUAUUGGGCGUAAAGCGCGCGCAGGCGGUUUCUUAAGUCUGAUGUGAAAGCCCCCGGCUCAACCGGGAGGGUCAUUGGAAACUGGGGAACUUGAGUGCAGAAGAGGAGAGUGGAAUUCCACGUGUAGCGGUGAAAUGCGUAGAGAUGUGGAGGAACACCAGUGGCGAAGGCGACUCUCUGGUCUGUAACUGACGCUGAGGCGCGAAAGCGUGGGGAGCGAACAGGAUUAGAUACCCUGGUAGUCCACGCCGUAAACGAUGAGUGCUAAGUGUUAGAGGGUUUCCGCCCUUUAGUGCUGCAGCAAACGCAUUAAGCACUCCGCCUGGGGAGUCGCGCGAUGCUCAGGAAUGCGGGGGCUCCACAACAGGAAGUUAGUGAUAUCAAAAACUUACCGUCUGCCCUGGACACCUAAGAUAGG